GUAGGUGGCAAGCGUUGUCCGGAAUUAUUGGGCGUAAAGCGCGCGCAGGCGGGGUCCUUUAAGUCUGAUGUGAAAGCCCACGGGCUCUACCGUGGAGGGUCAUUGGAAACUGGGGGACUUGAGUACAGAAGAGGAAAGCGGAAUUCCAAGUGUAGCGGUGAAAUGCGUAGAGAUUUGGAGGAACACCAGUGGCGAAGGCGGCUUUCUGGUCUGUAACUGACGCUGAGGCGCGAAAGCGUGGGGAGCAAACAGGAUUAGAUACCCUGGUAGUCCACGCCGUAAACGAUGAGUGCUAAGUGUUAGGGGGUUUCCGCCCCUUAGUGCUGCAGCUAACGCAUUAAGCACUCCGCCUGGGGAGUACGGCCGCAAAGGCUG
rnacentral:rRNA from 1 species